rnacentral:tRNA from 1 species
GGCGCUUUAGCCAAGUGGUUACGGCGACAGAUUAGAAAUCUGUUUCCCUUUGGGAGCAUAGGUUCGAGUCCUGUAGGCGUCG